rnacentral:rRNA from 1 species
GACGAACGCUGGCGGCGUGCUUAACACAUGCAAGUCGAACGGAAAGGCCCUGCUUUUGUGGGGUGCUCGAGUGGCGAACGGGUGAGUAACACGUGAGUAACCUGCCCUUGACUUUGGGAUAACUUCAGGAAACUGGGGCUAAUACCGGAUAGGAGCUCCUGCUGCAUGGUGGGGGUUGGAAAGUUUCGGCGGUUGGGGAUGGACUCGCGGCUUAUCAGCUUGUUGGUGGGGUAGUGGCUUACCAAGGCUUUGACGGGUAGCCGGCCUGAGAGGGUGACCGGCCACAUUGGGACUGAGAUACGGCCCAGACUCCUACGGGAGGCAGCAGUGGGGAAUAUUGCACAAUGGGCGGAUGCCUGAUGCAGCAACGCCGCGUGCGGGAUGACGGCCUUCGGGUUGUAAACCGCUUUCGCCUGUGACGAAGCGUGAGUGACGGUAAUGGGUAAAGAAGCACCGGCUAACUACGUG